rnacentral:tRNA from 2 species
GACUCCUUAGCUCAGUCGGUAGAGCAUUUGACUUUUAAUCAAAGGGUCGCGCGUUCGAGCCGCGCAGGGGUCA